CCCAGCAGCGGCGCGGUGGCGCGGCGACGGUGGUCGCUGCCCCGCGCUUGGGCAACCCCCCCCCCCAAUAAAACAGCACCCUCCCCAAAAAGGGGGCCCCGGAGCCAAGGCUGCUGCCUCCGCCCCGGUUGGUGCAGGAAGAAAAGCCACGCAGGGCAAUUUUGAGCAGAAAAACAGCCACAGGGGAAAGGAUUAUGCGCUCCUCCCCCCUACCUUGCCUGUGCUCCAACUGACAGUCUCCCAAGGCAGUUUUCUGUUGGAAAAUAAAUGGUUCGUCCUGUCCCCUCCUCUUCGCCUGCUCUGCUGCCGUCUGACAUCCCUCACACACAAGUCAAUAAUCCUCUCCUAGACAAUGCCCAUCAGGAGAAUUGCCUUUCACUCCAACUCAGCUGCCAGCUCACAACAGCCUGCGGGCACAUCGCAGGGGUCGCCCCGCUGCGCCUCUCUCGACUGAUCUGGAUUGACGUUUCCUUUGGUUGAGGAUUCUCCGCUUGUUGUUGGCUGGGUUCAGCCCUGCGCACCGCCUCCGCUCCCGCUUGGCCGUCUGUAGAUUAAAGGAGCUCGAGUCUAUUAUGCUUUAUUGCAAAAACCGAAGAUGAGCCGGUCGGAUGAGGAUUUUCCCCUCUCUCUCUCCCUCUCCUCCUGCCCGACCCAGGCAUUACCACGAUCCCAAGUGGAGCAUUUGUGUUCUUGUAGUUCUUCAGUAUAAAUAAAUACCCAAGCUGGAAGACCAAUCUGGGCCCCGCUAGGAAUAAUAAAGAAAAAUAAUAUGCCAUUGA